GAGAGAGAGAGAGAGAGAGAGAGAAUGAGGGUGGCCACCAGCUUGGACAGACAGGAGGAUCCCAGUGAUGUCUCAAAUGAACCCUGGAUACAGCCAUCUCUGACCUGUCAUGAAUGUCCAAACAGAAGGUGUUUAUCCAGUCUUACUCCAGAGGUGACAGACCAGGCGACAUGUGUUUCCUUUGGGGUGAAGGUGUCAGCCCACUCCAAAGCAUUAGACAGCAACUGAUCAAAGGGGACCCUGGGGACCUGGAACAUCUCAGGUUGCGAGCCCCCUAGGAGUUCCUUGACCUCUGCACUCUUCCCUGCUCCAAGGGCAUCAGAGCCCCUCAGUGUCUCACAGUCUGGAAUCUGGGGGUCUCUGUGGGACCUCCAGAAAUGUUGUGAGAGAAGACUGCAGCAUGGGUUGAAGCCGAUAGAAAGUCUUUGUUAGCAACUACACUGAAUGCUUAGAUCCCAGUGUAGCACUGACCCAUCCUCAGGGGGAGCAUGUAAACACAAAACCAUGUUCUGGUUAACAAGAAUGGCUACUCAGAAGCAGGACAGUCCAAAAAGCAAGUUAAUAUACUUAUAGACCUCCAGAAGUAUGGACUUUGAUGGAUUAGGGCUUUGCUUUUGUUUUGGCAGGUGGGUGGUGUCUAUGUGCUAAUUUUGUGACCUGAAAUGGUACUUCCAUCAUGGAGUCAGUUGUGCUAAGGUCUGGGUACCUGUUACACACUGUACGGGAAGGGCUCCCAGAACUCCAUGUAAGUGACUCUGGGUUGACCAGCUCUUCUGUCUGGGAAAAGCUUAGGAAGGUUCAUGCAAACAGGUGAGACAGAGCCUGCUCUGCCCACACAAACACCCCCUAGAGGCCCAGCUGGAGUCAAAUCAAGCUGGAUAGUGUUCUGCUGAGUGGACAAACCAAAUGUGUCCCUGUUUUCUAACUCAACAAACCCAGCUGGGGCCUUUUCUGCUACUUUGCACUGGAGGGUCUGCAUCAUCAUCUGAGCGGAAGGCCGGGGUCCCCAGGGCUGCCUGGCCUGAAAUCAGUACAGCACAGGCUUGAUCAGGGAAGGCUACUCGAUUCGGAUCUCUCCCUGGAAUUUUCAUGGGCGGGAGUGGGGGGUGGGGACCCUCUCACUUUAACCGCAGGAAUCACAAGUGCCUGGUUUGAUGGCUGAAGAAACUCCAUUUUGUGCUAGGCAUCCAGUUUGGUACCUAAUAGCUGUUGGUCUCUGACUCACGUUUCUGAAAGAUAAGGUCUACCCAGCCCUGACUCCUUGGUCCCUCCUUCCCCCAUUUUCUUGCUAUGACAUGACUAACUUCUGGUUUGGCUUCUGUAAUGGGCUUAUGCAGACAUUCAAGGACUAUUUUGAAGUCACCUUGGCCAUCUAAUCUAAUCUUGGCAGAACAAGACAGCUCCUGUGGUUUUACCCUUUAAAAGCCCUUCUUAAACUACGCCCGCUUCUGGACCGCACAUCUCUGAUUUGGGUUAGACACUGUGGCCCUGCUAGCAGCCUUAAAAUUUUUUGCUUGGAGUCGGGGGAGGAGGUGUGUGUGGCACGCGACUUUAAUCCCAGCCUUGGGGAGACAGAGGCAAGUGGAUCCCUGUGAGUUCCAGGCCAUCCUGGUGUACAGAGCAAGUUCCACGACAGCCAGGACUUUGUUACACAGAGAAACUCUGUCUUAAAGCAAUUUUUUUUUUUUUUGCUUAAUUGUAAUUUGAAUUAAGUCUGGAGGCCUUUUCCGUGGUCGAGAACUCCUUAGCAACUGGCAGCAGCUUCCUCCCUCCUGAUGCUGGUGCGGGUUAUGAAAUCGCAGCAAGAAUUCCUAUAGCCACGUGCGAGGACGCACCCGAGACAGUCUGAAGUCUGCCAGACUGCUUAAGGUCAGCUGCCGCCUGUAGCAACGCGUGUGGUCCUGGUUGGGGCCAAUUCUAAUAACGCUAUGGCACCCGGGCUCUGACGCCUCUGCCGGGCUUUUCUGCUGCGUUGAAAACAGAUUCUCCAGACCGUCUUUGUUGGACCGUAAGGGAGGGACCCUCGUGGGGAGGACACACAGCAUAAAGGCUUGGAGCGCCCAGAGGCCACCGAGGCGUGGUCCUCCGGGGUCCAGAGCGUCCCGCAACCGGGGGCGGGGCCUCCCGGAGGAGGAGCACUUCCGGCCGACGCGCGGGCGGUCUUCUCCCGCUCGCAAGGUGAAUGGUCGCCCCUCCCAGCGGGUCCAAGGCGGACCCUUCGGUUCAUCUCCGUGGUUGUCUGCUUUCUUCCACUGCCGAGACUCCGGUCAGCCCUGGCCCCGGGCCUUUGAGUGGUUUCAUCCGGGGGCGUCCGCCCGGCGCCUGCACCCAGCGCCUCCACCUUCUCCCGGCGGAUGCUGCUGCCCCUCGCCCCAUGUGUGUUCCCUGUCAUCCUUUCUGCCCUCAUCACUGUGGAAGAAAACCAGCCCCUCUCUUUGGGCUCCAUUCAUUUAUAGCAAAUCAAGUUAAGGAAAAAUCUUCUCCCCCAUUUUAACAUUUCCUCGAGUCAUGUAGCUCAGGUUGGCCUCGAACUUGCUGUGUAACCAAGGAUGCCCUCGAACUUCCUGUUUCUGCUGCCUUCACUUCCCAAGUGUUGGCAUUAGAGGCACGCUCCACCACACCCAGUUUUUGCGGUGCUGGGGAUUGAUCUUACGGCUCUAGGCUUCGGGCAUGCUAAGCAAGCAUUCAGCCAAGCGAGCCUCAUCUCCAGCCCGGAAAGCGCACAUAACGUACACUUGUGGGUGGUGCUGUGGGAAAUCUGGGCUUGGGGUCUGCAGCCUCAGAAUCUUUGGAAUCCGAGGAAAAGUUUUCCCUCGGGAAAAGCAUCCCUCUUAUUUUCAUGAAGAGUUCUCGUGCCUUACGUUCACAGAGCCAAAGCCCCCGCUAUGGCGCCAGUGUGUUCUCUGGAAGCGCACACUUGCUCUCCUCCGCAGGCUGUGUUGGGAGAACAUUUAGUCCUCUGUUGAGAAGAGCUCGGGGCCACUGCCUCGCUGGUGAUGCUGCCAGGACUGAGGAGGCCUUCAGACUGAGUAAAAAUGCAGGCCCCUGUACCGUGGACCCUGCAGCUCCCCAAGAGUCCACCCGCCUUUUCUUGGCAACCUUCUCCUGCUAAGUAGAAAAGCGAAGUGUCAGCUAGGGUUGCUGGAGGCUGGCAUGGUGCUCUUCAACAACACUCUCCGUCCCCUUAUCUACCUUGGUUUUCAUUUUCCUUGGGUCCCAGGUGCACACCCCUUGAGCAGGCCUCAGGAAGAUGGCAACCUUAGAGGACACUGAGGAGUCCACCCCUGGCUUGUCACGCGGCGGUCUCUCAGCCCCCGGGCCAGCUGGGGACCAUCACCAUGUGGCACAGCCGCACUUCAUGGGCACCCUCACGGUAUUUGCCCCAGACCACUAUGCCCCUCUGCCCCUCCUCUACCCCAUGAGAAUGGUCUGAGCUGUGUCUUGGGCAACCAAGGGAGGGAGGGGCCACUUGGGUAACUCAUUCGGUGCUCCGGCCUCUGGAAAAAGCCCUGAGGGAGUGAGGGAGGGCAGCAGUGGUUGAGGCCAUGCUUUAACUCCCUGGAUAUGUUUCUUUCUCAGUGUAGAUGCUGAGCACACUUCAGGUCUCGGCAGUCAUGUAGUCCAGCGGGUUCAUCCCUGAGGCCCACAGGAAGCCUCUCAUGAGGUAGUGCCAGUGAGGACAAGAUCCCACAUGGGGACCAGCUCUCCCUGCGGGUCUAGAGCUGCGGCUGAUGCACAGAGCUGAGGGUUAUGGACGGCAGCUGCGCUCUGUACCAGGCUCCCUUAGGAGAUGCCAAAGCCCGGCCACAGCUUAUAGAUGAACAGUCACAGGUAAGGACAGAGAUCUCACUCCUAGGGAACCACAGUGGUCAACCCAGAACCAGAUGGGAGCCCCAAGCCCUGUCCUGCUUGCUGCCCGGCUCCAGGACCCUUCUGCUUGUCCCUAGAACAAGUCUUGGACAGGGCCUUACAUCACUGUGCUGUCCCUGGUGGGCCUGUGAACAGCGGGACACAGAGAGACAAAAGUGGGCUUGGAGCUAAGGCUCCCCCGUUCCAGUCCCGAGAUGCCUUCCAGGGCAUCAGACCUGGACCUCCAAGACACAGAGGAAGUGGAGGUCAGCAGAGACACCUGGCCUGACUCCGAGUGGGAGCUUAAGAAGACUCCAGCCUCUCUCAAUUCCCACAGAGCUGGAGGUGGGCUCAGACGGAAGGGCACCGAGGGGCCUCUUGAAGAGUCUUCCCAGCAUCUCUAAGUGUGGGGACAGCUUUGGCCAAGAAUGCACCUUGGAGCAUCCAGCAGGCCUGUCUCCAGGGACCGUGCCCUGCUCUCAGGAAAGGGACACUUGGCACAUGGUACUCUUGCCUCAGGGAGCCCUAGGCACUGAGGACAGCGCCAAGAAGGCUGCUGAGCCGGGCAGUAGUUUGGGUCGCAGCUUCCGGCAAGCCCGCCCACGGAGCACCAAGCCACACCGCUGCGAGGCCUGUGGUAAGGGCUUCAAGUACAACUCUCUGCUGCUGAAGCGCCAGCGCAUCCACACGGGGGAGAAGCCUUACGCCUGUCGGGAGUGCGCAAGCGCUUCGGCAGCUGGCAGGGCUCAGUGCAGCAUCACUGCAUCCACACUGGCGGGGGAGGGGGGGCGCGGGCGAGAAGCCAGUGCGGCCGGGCCUUUAGCCAGAGCUCCAGCCUGGUGCGCCACCAGCGGAUGCACACCAGGAGAGGCCGCACUCUGCAGCCAGUGCAGCAAGGCCUUCAUCUGGAGCUCGGUGCUCAUGGAACACCAGCGCUUUCACACCGGCGAGAAGCCCUACAAGUGCGAAGAUUACAGCAAGGCCUUCGGCCAGAGCUCUCAAGCUCAUCCAGCACUACCGCGAGGAGUGCACACCCCAAUAAAGUGUGCCGUGGGUGACGUGGGGACGGUUCACAGUACAUGGCAGGGCAUGGCCUGUGUCCAAGCAUGAUGGCUAAAGAAACUGUUUGUGCUAAGCAUCCAUCUUGGCACCCACUAGCCAUUUGUCUCUGCCUCCAGGCCCUAGAGGGUAAGUUCCCAAUAAUUCAGUGACCCCCACCCGGAAAUGCACAGCCAUGACCAUCUCCUUGUUACGCUGUGACUGUUGGCUCCUGUAAUCUGCUUAUGCACACAUUCAAGGACUACUUUGAGUUCUCCCUGGCUACCUAAUCUUGGCAGAGCAGAACAGCACCAGGCUUGUGUGUGCAGACACUCAAGGUCUUCCUAUGGAUUUUCUCUUUAAAAAUCGCUUGGCUUGGCAGUCUCUAGUUUGGCUCAGGGAUUGCUGUCCUGCUAGCAGGUUCAAUAAAUUUAACUCAUUAUAAUCUGGA